GUAUGUGUGCUUCCAGAAGUAGCAGGACCUCUCCAGCCACAGACAGUCCAGAGACCCCCUCUCCCAUCCCAGACCCAGCCUGCCAGUUAGCUGCAGAGGCCAGGGAGCUGGUGGAGGGGGUCAGAUCCCUGAGCAGCACCGAUGAUACAGCCCCUCUCAGUGACUCAGAGGUGGGUGAACCACCUGACCCAGCCAUGGACCCUAACCGGGCAACACACCCUCAUAGCUCGCAGGCUCAGCCAUCUCCUACAGAAGAUCCAGCCAAAGACAAGCGCCGCCAGUAGAGAACAUUCAGAGAACGUCACAGAGAGCGUUUUAGAGAACGUUACGAGGACGUGAAAAGAACAAGGUGGCUGGGGACUAGGCUCAGAAGAACACUGUGCUUGGCUGACUACGUUUACCUAAAAACUACCAACGACCCUUUAAAAGACAGACAGACAGAUUGAGAUGAGACAACCAGACAGACUGUAUGUAGGAUGCUAUCCAGUGUGCGUUAAAGAAAACAACAAAAAAAACACUUAACACUUAACUCUUUAAAAAUGAACCGCUGUCAUUAGUUGAGGCUUCAGUCAAUGUUCUGGGAUUGCUUUACCGAUUAACCGCAAAAUGUUCUAGUUUAUCUGUUUUCUAAUACAGCUGUGUGUGUACUUACAUUUCUCUGUUGACAUUUAGCAUUUGUCAGAAUGUGAACGAAGGGGAGAUUCUCAACUGGGAGUGACUGGGAACGGUAGCAGGUUUUGAGGUGAAAUGGCAGAGACUUGUAGAUGCAGUUCAGUUUGUUCCAAAGAGCUUGCCGUAGCCGAUUAGACAGCACUACAAAGCCAAGGCGCUACCGUUGGGUGUGUAGGUGUACAGACGUACAGCAUGAGCUAUGAUGAUGAUGAUGAUGAUGAUGAUGAUGCACUGAACCUUUCUAUCCCUGAGUUCCAAUACUCUGUAAAAUGUUCAUUCUCUCAUGUCCUAUUUCCUUGUAUCCUAUUUCCUUGUAUCCUUCCUGACCACUGAAAUCUGGAAAGACCGGAUAGUGACGUUCAAUAUGCCGGUAUGACAUUGGCUGCUCGUCAAAUUGGUUCCAUCCGUUUAUUUUUGGGAUCAGCGGUCCUCAAGGACACGAAGAGAGAUGAAGACGUUUGUGUUCAUUAUCUGAGACGGGACAGAAAUGUGUAUUUUUGCUCACAACCCUUCCCAGAGGUGAGGAGAGGAAGCCAGGCUAGGGUAUUGGAACCUAGCCCUAGCUGUCUCUAUAGCUGUAUCGCCAUGGCUACAGUAAGUGCCCUGUAUGUGUAUACUUCAGAGAGAGAGAGAGAGGAUAACGUGGACGAUGUGCCCUGAUUCAAAGCGUCUCAUCCUGAUGACAUCGUGUCACCAUGGUGAUGACCCUGUGUACAGAAACGGUUUGUCCCUUAUACUGAAGUGCUCUGAUGAACUGUCUGUCUGUUUUGAAGAUGAUUUUGUCCUGGAAAAGCCCAUUUUCUGUUACGGAUACCGAGGUAGAGGAAGACGCUUUAGGACCUGCACGAGCUGUCAUGGCGACGCCGAGACGUCUGCUUUUGCUGUUAUUAUAAAACCUUGUAAAUCUUUAAGCUGAAAGAAAUAUUGCACUCUCCUUUGAUGUCCUUCUCCACAUCUUCUGACUGACACACACACACACACACACACACACACACACACACAAACAAGUCCGCUGGACCAAGCCAGAGCUUACUAUAGUAUGUCUGUGUCAAUUGAAGCUCGUUCAAGGCUUUGUCUAUGAGGAUUCCUUUCUUCCUUACUGUUGAGUUCUGUGAAUACUUACUACGCUGUCAUAUCACAUAUGUUCCGUGACUUCUGUUAGAACUGCGUCUCCAUAGCGACAGCUGUGUGGAAGUUCCGUUCCAUAACCCACAGUUUGUCGGCUUGUCGUCUGAGAUUGAGGUUAUGUCACCAAGACAAUAAAAAAAGAAUGGAAAAAACAACAACAAUGGCCUUUUAGCAGUGGCUGUGUCUCGAUAGUCGUAACUAGCUCCCUUUCCUUGUGUCCUUUCCUUGUGUCCUUUUCCUUCAUGAUCAGUGAUAUGGAAAGAAGCGAUACUGUAGGUAAAAAAGCAAUAUGGUGGAAAGCCAUCCAAUCCUUUCACCUGUUAGAGGUCCCGAAGGAAAGGAAAUGAAGGGAGGAGACAAGGAAAGGAAGUAAUGAAAGAGUAUUGAGACCCAGCCGGUGUCUAUCAACUCAAAACACCUGAUACUUCCUCAGUGCUAAUGAAGGAAAGGAGACGAGGAAGGAAGCCAAUGACGAGUAAUUGAGACACAACGCGAAGCAGUGUAUCUCAACUGGAAACAUCACCAGUACCAUAUGAUCACUGCAUGGUUCUGGUUCUGACAACCUGUCGUUCAACAUUCAACUGUGGAAUCAAAUGUUUGGUUUCAGGAAUGUAGAGAUUAGUUUAUACUGUCUUGUUUAAAAUAAUAGGUUGUAUGAUAACGAUACCUGUAUGGUGGGAUAUAUGGGCUGCGUCCCAAUCAUCUCUCCGUUCUCCCGAAGUGUGCACUCGUUCACUUUCCUUUAUGGAUCUCAGAGGACAUGACUGGAAUAUGGAACUCCCUCUAGAGUCCAGCCCAUGCCAACGCAUAUCCAUGUAUUUUACAUUUGUAUGGAGUAGUGAGUGCACACUUCAGGAAAGAAAGAGAGAGUUUUGGGACACAAGUCAAGGAGAUGUGUACAACAGGAGGUCAUGUAACAUUAAUAAGACCGUAGCCGGCUAAAUGUGUCCGAGGUGUAUUGUUUAUAUUGUUAAAUGCACAUGCUUUACCAAACUGACUGACAUGUAGUCCUGUAAUUGAACUAGAUUGCAUCAUUAUGUUUGGCCUCUGAACUUUCUUUUACUGUUUUUAAUAAAGGAAUAACCUCAAAUA